CUUGUAUUACAAUAUUUCUCCACUCUCAACUGUUAAAUUUUAAUUAUAUUUAAAAAGCUUGGCAAGUCUUGUGCUCAGAAUAUUAAAAUCUAAAUGUUCUCAAGUGAAGAAAUAUGGUGACACACUUGUUGCAGUGGUGGAACCUAUAUAUCGUUACCAUUUGUGUGCAAUAGUUUCUUUUUAAAAUUGAUAUAAGGAAAUAUAUUUACUUGCACAGUGUAUUGGCUUCCUAAAAAUUAUAAACCGAAUCUGGUAUGACUUCUGGUAUCUGAGGUCGACUCUUUCCCUUUGUUUUCACAACAAUUUGUGUCAUUCUGAAUUAAAAAAAAAAAUAAGGUCAAAGCAUAAUUUAUAAAAUCAUAGUGAGUAUUGUACUAGAGGUUUAGCAAAAUAAUGGAAACUUAUUUUCGUCUUUCAGUUACAUAAGAAUCAUUGUACAAAAUAUUUAUUUGUUUGCAAUAAAGCAAGAAGAGGU
rnacentral:lncRNA from 1 species